GGACGUUACCGUGUCACAUAAGCUGAGAGUCCGGUGAAAGGAGGGGGUGAAGGGAAGGCAGGGAUAAAGUCCGGGUUGUUUUGACUGGAAACCUCGGUCCACGCUGAAGGUCAGCGCUGCUGAACAUCUGCCGGCGCCGCUGCCCAAGUGUAGGAGACACUGAGGUCCUCGCUGCGUGUGUUUGUUUAUCACCGCAGUCCCCGUCCCUACGCCCUCCUCCUGCUGUCAAGUCUUAUACGACACGGCAACACGCUUCCGGUAUCAGCUUUCAAAGUAAAAAUCCUCAUGAGGCCCGCAAGCGCCAUCACCCCACUCUCCUCAGCCAUCGGUGGAAAGUAGCGAGUAAAGAGUACAAAAGUCCACCCACAGCCGGGGACACGAUCUCUGGCUCUGUACACAAACCUGCAGCUCAGGACAACUCAUCAGGACAAUGCCUCAAUAAAAACGCAAGGUGAAGGACCCAUUAUGCUAAAAUACAAUGGAGUGAUAUGGAAAAUAAAAACAAGUUACUAAAAUGAUAACGUGUCCA
rnacentral:lncRNA from 1 species